UGCACUGUGACCAAAGGUGCAUUAUGUAAGAAUGUGAAUCCAUUUACAUGUGUGAAUCAAUUUGUGCUGCCAAUGUGUGAACAGGUUGUAAUGUAGCUUUAAAAAAUGAAACCUUCCCUGACUUUCUCGGCCUGUUGACUGAUUUUCUAAGUAGCCUAAAAGACCAAAGUGCCUCGCCUCAGCGCCAUCAGCACUUCAUUUUAAGGAGGAGGUGAUUCACCAGCCCAGGGGAGGUCGGCGCGGAGCUGAUGACUUGUAUGACACAUGAACUUCUCACACUGUCAUUACCCAUGAUCCAUCAUCAGCACCCCAGCCGGGGCCUGUUCUCUUACAGCAGCAGUGUUGAUGAGUGACCAACCAGAUGAAUCACAAUUAAACGCGGCUCCCCUCUCCUCCUCCUCCGCCGUCGCCGCCACCCGCCGCCACUAUAUCACCGAGGUUAUCAGUGCCAGACAGCCCGGCGUGUAAAUUAAACGCAGACAGAUACAGGAGCUGUCAGUCACCCCGCGAUCAGAGCGAGUGCAUCCAUCUGUGUCUCUCCACCUCCGAGCCGCCGAGGCACCAAGGACGUGCAGCAGCCCAUCACCGUUCGGGAAUAGUUCCCAUUUCAGCACCUCCUCUGCUCCUCUACUGUAUGAUUAUCAUGUUCUUCAUGAAUAAAUUUGGUUUUUCCAGCGCACCAGAGCUGUGCUGCAUUCUUCUGUCCUGGGUAAAGACAAAAAAAAAAAAAAAAAA